rnacentral:rRNA from 1 species
GAUGAGCAUGCGUCCCAUUAGCUUGUUGGUAAGGUAACGGCUUACCAAGGCAACGAUGGGUAGGGGUCCUGAGAGGGAGAUCCCCCACACUGGUACUGAGACACGGACCAGACUCCUACGGGAGGCAGCAGUGAGGAAUAUUGGUCAAUGGGCGCAAGCCUGAACCAGCCAUGCCGCGUGCAGGAUGAAGCAUCUACGGUGUGUAAACUGCUUUUGUACGAGAAGAAACACUCCUACGUGUAGGAGCUUGACGGUAUCGUAAGAAUAAGGACCGGCUAACUCCGUGCCAGCAGCCGCGGUAAUACGGAGGGUCCAAGCGUUAUCCGGAAUCAUUGGGUUUAAAGGGUCCGUAGGCGGUUUUGUAAGUCAGUGGUGAAAGCCCAUCGCUCAACGGUGGAACGGCCAUUGAUACUGCAAGACUUGAAUUAUUGGAAAGUAACUAGAAUAUG